AUUAGAUACCCUGGUAGUCCACACUGUAAACGAUGGAUACUAGGUGUAGGGGGUAUUAAGCCUUCUGUGCCGUCGCAAACGCAGUAAGUAUCCCACCUGGGGAGUACGACCGCAAGGUUGAAACUCAAAGGAAUUGACGGGGGCCCGCACAAGCAGUGGAGUAUGUGGUUUAAUUCGAAGCAACGCGAAGAACCUUACCUGGCCUUGACAUCCCGAUGAAUACAGGGCAAUGCCUGUAGUACUUCGGUACAUUGGAGACAGGUGGUGCAUGGUUGUCGUCAGCUCGUGUCGUGAGAUGUUGGGUUAAGUCCCGCAACGAGCGCAACCCUUACCCCCAGUAGCCAGCAUAUAAGGUGGGAACUCUGGGGGGACUGCCGGGGACAACCCGGAGGAAGGUGGGGAUGACGUCAAAUCAUCAUGCCCCUUAUGCCCGGGGCGACACACGUGCUACAAUGGCGUAAACAGAGGGAGGCGAACCCGCGAGGGGGAGCAAAACCCAAAAAUAACGUCCCAGUUCGGAUUGCAGGCUGCAACCCGCCUGCAUGAAGCCGGAAUCGCUAGUAAUCGCGGAUCAGAAUGCCGCGGUGAAUGCGUUCCCGGGUCUUGUACACACCGCCCGUCACACCAUGGGAGCCGGGAAUGCCCGAAGUCAGCGGCCUAACCGCAAGGGGGGAGCUGCCGAAGGCAGGCCUGGUAACUGGGGUGAAGUCGUAACAAGGUACC
rnacentral:rRNA from 1 species